ACGGAGGGUGCGAGCGUUGUCCGGAAUCAUUGGGCGUAAAGGGCGCGUAGGUGGUCUGAUAAGGGUGUGGUGAAAGCCCGGGGCUCAACCCCGGGUCGGCCGUGCCGACUGUUAGACUGGAGUGCUGUAGGGGCAGGCGGAAUUCCGGGUGUAGCGGUGGAAUGCGUAGAGAUCCGGAGGAAGACCGGUGGCGAAGGCGGCAUCCUGGACCGACAUUGACGCUGAACGGCGAAAGCUAGGGGAGCAAACGGGA
rnacentral:rRNA from 1 species